UUAGAAAUAUAAAAUUAAAAGAGUUUGCCCCAAAAGCCACAAACUCAGGGCUAAGCCCUGCCGCCAGGAAUAGCAGGCCAUAAAGAUAAAGAAAAGGAAUGCAGGAUCCAGCUCAGGCUAUCGAGGACUGACCCAUAAACCAUCCAAAGACGUCCCCCCAGCUUACUCAGAGUCAUACUUUAACCAGAUGUCCUCCAGACCCUGAUAAGCCCCUACUUGUGCUUUUCAGCCAUUGUGUCCUACAGAGAGCAUUCCAAGAAACCGGACAGCCCAAGCCUAACCAGAGGUGUUUCAAAUACAAAUGCUCCAUCAAUUUUGACGAACUUUUAAAAAUAAUGAGGACCUAAAGACCCUACCCUUCUCCUGAUUUAGUAGCUCUGUUCCAGGAACCAGGGGGCCAUAAAACCUUCUGGCGUCCCCUUAUCUCCUGGAGCCAUAAAACAAUCUUGUAACUUGUGGUGCAUUCCCCUUUGACAUCCCCCAUCCCCUGGUGCUCACAGCCUCUGCCUUUAAAUACUCUUUUUCCCAGCCUCUCGGGGUCGACACCUCUGUCUCCUGCGUGGGAUACGUGUCGGCCCGGAGAUCUCUGUAAUAGGUCUCCGUAAUAAACCUCGCCUUUGCUUAUUACAUCCAAAAUGGUCUCUCUGUGUCUGGGGUCCGCGAUUUCCCAAGACUUGAGUAAGGGUCUCUCUGCGUGGGAUCUUUCAUGUUUAUGGGGGCUCGUCCGGGAUCUGCGCGACUACCCCAGACUCCGAAGACCCCUUGGAGGCUAAAAGACCUACAGGUGAUACAGAAAGAAAUCUGCUCACAGCUGACAGCAGCCUAUGCCCCGGAGACCCCUGAGACAUCCCAUCAGUUCCAGGUCGGAAACAGCUACACUGAGCCCAGACACUCGAUCCUCGCUGGAAAGGACCAUACCUGGUGCUGCUGACCACCCUGACAGCCGUCAAUUCUCAGCCCUCACCAGCCGUGUACUAGCUGUUAGGGCUGAGAGCUGGGACCUAGAGAGAAAUUCAGUCAUGUUUGUCCUGGGUUCCAUCGAGAUAGGUGUGGGGAUAGGCUUGAUUUCUAUUACAAAUAAUGUAACAUUACAUAUGUUAGUACUCCUAACACUUCUUGGGACUGUGCC